UGUUUUAAUUUUUACACAUAGAAAAAUACAUAUAAAUGCUUAAUUUUCAAGUUUUUACCAAUUUACAGUUCCAAUGAGGUGGUUGCACAGCCUAUUCAAGGUGCUGGUAUUGAGAAUAAUAUUUAUCAGUUAGCAGAUGAUCUACCCGGCCCAUCCUCUGCUUCUCAUAUUAGAGGAGACGUAUAUUCUUCCAUCGAUAGAAGGUUACAAGUGUCAGGUGCUCAAACUGUAAAUUACAAGGUUUCAAAUAAUGACAACAGAAAACAACAGCCAGGAGUAAGAGAUGGACACAACAGGGUCGUAGAAGAUGAUUUCUCAAAACUAAAUUAUGUUGAGGUUGCAUUCGACUCAAAAAGGACAUCUAGAGAGUUUUACAUCCAUGGAGCUGAACAUAGAACUCAGUAUGUAGACAUAGACCUUUUGGCAAAAGCUGAUCCUUUGUGUAAUGAAGACGAGAAUGACAGUGUAUCCUCUUCUGGGGAUAACAACGAUGAUGAUUUUGUGUCUCUAGAGGAGAUUCAGAAAUGGAAAAUUAAUGAAGAUAGAUGAAUGUUACCAUUAAGAAUUAUUUCCAGUUUCAUGGACUGUCAAAAUAUGACAAUUCGUACAUUUGUACAUAAAAUAUUGCGAAAUGGUAUGCAAAUUCAACUUUAAACAUUAUUUUUUUAUCAAUUUUUGUUCGUUUUUAUUUAUUAACAUUAAACAUUACGUGUGUAUGGCAUUGUAUGAACAAGAAUUACGCAAAUCAAUGUAUUUCAAUAUGAUAUGCAUUUAUAAUCUAUAAUAAACUUGAAAUCAAAUUAAAGCCGAGACAAAUGAAGGUUAUAUACACAAACUGAUGGAAUAGCGUGAAUUACAAAGGGAUCAAGAAUGUAUGCGUCGAUAAGUUCAUUGUCUUCGGCUAUUAUUCAUGCCUAAACCGCCAUGCAAAUCCACACUCAGUCAAAGUGUCAAAAUCUGGAAUAUACCCAUAAAACCCUGAUUAUUACAAAGUAGUUUUGAAAAAUACUGGCAAAAUACAGAAGUGUAGGUUAUAUAUUUCGGAAGUAUGCUUAUAGAGUUGAAAAAUAAAUUGAUCUACAACAGA